UCUUAUUGGUACUUCCCUUUUCCCUUCUUUUUCCUGUCUUUGAACCUUUUCAAUUGCUUCUCGUAUUUUUUAUUUAAACUGUCACGAAGUUUUUUCAUACAGCAUAUU
rnacentral:ribozyme from 1 species